AUGUUGACCUGCAGAUUCAUGGUGACGAUACUGUACUUUGCAACUUAUGUUGCACUGACCCAUAUGCAUGUCGUGGAUCAAGGAAGGCUAAGGAGAGAAUAUUGCAGGGAACGAGCAAUUCUUGCAAGGAGCGAGGAAGCAACGCCACUGGAACGGAACUACAGGUGAAUGGAAAGGAAGAAUGCGGGUAAGCAGGUGUCACGGGGAAGUCUGAAUAGGCAAAUACGAACAUCUAUGGAAAAGGGAGAGCAGAGGAUGGAUGCGGUGUAUAGGUGCGAUGGGAUGUUUAGCCACUGGUCACAACGGCCAUCUUUUCUGCUCUGAUACCAGACGCCUACCCCACUCCAAAGUCUUUUGACUGAGGAGGACAGUUUCUUGUGUCACUUCGACAGCAAGGCUUUUCUUAUACCGUGCAAGGCUUCUGGCAUCCCCUUUAUGGCAUGGAAAGAAGCUGCCUUGCCCUGCUGUGUCCCUCACACUGCAGACAGCGCAAGGGCAGAGGCCCUCAGAGAUGCUCCACAUGCUCAAGUGCUUACACCAGAUCACCUAGACACAUUCAAGAUGGUUCAUAUUAAAGGCUCUCCUUGCAUGGACUAAAACUAGUACAGAGAGGGGGGAAAUUAACAUUACUGUCUCCUUAAUGUACUAGUUCACUCCAUAUUGCCUUUUAUGUGGAUAGACUUUUUUUAAAAAGUCCCUUUCAUAUGUGCACCCACAAAUCUGCAGUCUAAAGCAAUCCUGGGAUCAAUGGGCGUUCUGCUUACAGUGAAAAGGGAGGGCACAUGAUGUGCUGUUGAGCACAGAAUGUAAGGAAAGGAGACUCCAGCUCUAUGUCCAUCCACACACAAGCAUGGCCGAUGUAUCCACUACGGAUAACAAGAUGAAUCUGUAAAUUCAGAAGCAUUUAGGGGAGCAAACUUGUAUGACAAUGUGCGCACAAGGACAGCUUCUGAAUGUACACGGAAGAGANGGAAGCAUGAAGUGGCGAAGACAGACUGGGCUCAGGCUGGGAUGAGUGGGAAGAGUCCACACAGCAAUGCCAAGAAGUGAACAUUCAUUGGAGAGUCUACCCCUGCCUGUGGCUUUCUGCGCACAUGCGCAGGAAUGUGUGUGUGUAAACAAUACAGCAGUGGCAACAGUGUACAUACAGACUGCCUCAUGUGCGUGU
rnacentral:lncRNA from 1 species